rnacentral:rRNA from 1 species
UGGCUCAGGAUGAACGCUGGCGGUAUGCUUAACACAUGCAAGUCGAACGCUCCUUCGGGAGAGUGGCGGACGGGUGAGUAACGCGUGAGAAUCUGCCUUAGGGUCGGGGACAACCACUGGAAACGGUGGCUAAUACCGGAUAAGCCGAGAGGUGAAAGAGAAAUUGCCAGAAGAGGAGCUCGCGUCUGAUUAGCUAGUUGGUGGGGUAAGAGCUUACCAAGGCAGCGAUCAGUAGCUGGUCUAAGAGGAUGAGCAGCCACACUGGGACUGAGACACGGCCCAGACUCCUACGGGAGGCAGCAGUGGGGAAUUUUCCGCAAUGGGCGAAAGCCUGACGGAGCAAUACCGCGUGAGGGAGGAAGGCUCUUGGGUCGUAAACCUCUUUUGUCAGGGAAGAAGAAAGUGACGGUACCUGACGAAUCAGCAUCGGCUAACUCCGUGCCAGCAGCCGCGGUAAUACGGAGGAUGCAAGCGUUAUCCGGAAUUAUUGGGCGUAAAGCGUCCGCAGGUGGCUCAUCAAGUCUGCUGUCAAAAACCGGGGCUCAACUCCGGAGGGGCAGUGGAAACUGAGGAGCUAGAGUGCAGGAGGGGUAGAGGGAAUUCCCGGUGUAGCGGUGAAAUGCGUAGAGCUCGGGAAGAACAUCGGUGGCGAAAGCGCUCUACUGGACUGCAACUGACACUCAGGGACGAAAGCUAGGGGAGCGAAUGGGAUUAGAUACCCCAGUAGUCCUAGCCGUAAACGAUGGAUACUGGGUGUGGCUUGUAUCGACCCAAGCCGUGCCGAAGCCAACGCGUUAAGUAUCCCGCCUGGGGAGUACGCGCGCAAGCGUGAAACUCAAAGGAAUUGACGGGGGCCCGCACAAGCGGUGGAGUAUGUGGUUUAAUUCGAUGCAACGCGAAGAACCUUACCAGGGCUUGACAUGUCGCGAAUCGAGUGGAAACAUUCGAGUGCCUUCGGGAGCGCGAACACAGGUGGUGCAUGGCUGUCGUCAGCUCGUGUCGUGAGAUGUUGGGUUAAGUCCCGCAACGAGCGCAACCCUCGUCUUUAGUUGCCAGCACGGAAGGUGGGCACUCUAGAGAAACUGCCGGUGACAAACCGGAGGAAGGUGGGGAUGACGUCAAGUCAGCAUGCCCCUUACGUCCUGGGCGACACACGUACUACAAUGGUGGGGACAGAGGGCAGCGAGUCCGCGAGGGCAAGCCAAUCCCAGAAACCUCGCCUCAGUUCAGAUUGCAGGCUGCAACUCGCCUGCAUGAAGGAGGAAUCGCUAGUAAUCGCAGGUCAGCAUACUGCGGUGAAUCCGUUCCCGGGCCUUGUACACACCGCCCGUCACACCAUGGAAGCUGGCCACGCCCGAAGUCGUUACCCUAACCGC